CUCCCAGUGGCCACACAUUUUAAUUCCACAUCCCAUUCCCAUUCUGAUAUAUCUAUCCACGGCCUCCUCUACUAUCAAGAUGAAGCCACACUCAGGUUCGUGGGUUUGGAGACUGCGGAACGGAAGAGACUCGCUACCAGUUGGAAGUUACCCAGAUAGAAUAUAAGGUGUUCCUCCUCCAACCUGAUGUGGCUUGAUCGCAG